CGCUACACAUGCAGUCGAACGCAGUAGCAAUACUGAGUGGCAGACGGGUGAGUAUAAUGUGGGAAUCUGCCUUUUGGUUUGGAAUAACACGAGGAAACUUGUGCUAAUACCGGAUAAGCCUUAACAGGGAAAGUUUUAACGCCAAAAGAUGAGCCCGCACUUGAUUAGCUAGUUGGUAAGGUAAUGGCUUACCAAGGCAACGAUCAAUAGCUGUUCUUAGAGGAAGACCAGCCACAUUGGGACUGAGACACGGCCCAAACUCCUACGGGAGGCAGCAGUGGGGAAUCUUGCACAAUGGGGGCAACCCUGAUGCAGCGAUGCCGCGUGAGUGAAGAAGGCCUUUGGGUUGUAAAACUCUUUCGUCGGGGAAGAAAAUGACUGUACCCGAAUAAGAAGGUCCGGCUAACUUCGUGCCAGCAGCCGCGGUAAUACGAAGGGACCUAGCGUAGUUCGGAAUUACUGGGCUUAAAGAGUUCGUAGGUGGUUGAAAAAGUUAGUGGUGAAAUCCCAGAGCUUAACUCUGGAACUGCCAUUAAAACUUUUCAGCUAGAGUAUGAUAGAGGAAAGCAGAAUUUCUAGUGUAGAGGUGAAAUUCGUAGAUAUUAGAAAGAAUACCAAUUGCGAAGGCAGCUUUCUGGAUCAUUACUGACACUGAGGAACGAAAGCAUGGGUAGCGAAGAGGAUUAGAUACCCUCGUAGUCCAUGCCGUAAACGAUGUGUGUUAGACGUUGGAAAUAUAUUUUUUCAGUGUCGCAGCGAAAGCAUUAAGCACACCGCCUGGGGAGUACGACCGCAAGGUUAAAACUCAAAUGAAUUGACGGGGACCCGCACAAGCAGUGGAGCAUGUGGUUUAAUUCGAAGAUACGCGCAGAACCUUACCUACUCUUGACAUACUUGGAGGCUCUUGUAAUGAAGUAGUGCCUUCGGGAGCCAAGAUACAGUGCUGCAUGGCUGUCGUCAGCUCGUGUCGUGAGAUGUUCCGUUAAGUCGGAUAACGAGCGCA
rnacentral:rRNA from 1 species